rnacentral:lncRNA from 7 species
CACGCAGUGAUGCAGCCAACAAUUAUAGAUCAGGACUUCAGGUUCAGGAGUUCAGGACAAAGUUGUAGGGAGCCAACAAAAUAUGCCAGGUUAGCAACAGUUGCAACCAACAAUUACAGGCUUACAGUUACAGCCAACAAAAUAUAAUGACCAUGUGCCUCUCAUGUCCUCUCUCGGGUCCUAUCUCUCCCUCUCCUCCAUCUCCUCCAUGUGAGUAUGUGACCAUGUGCCUCUACAAGUCAUUAGAAAAUCAGCAACACAUAAAUCAGAACACUUAUAAAUCAGGGACAUCAUAUAACUCAUAUAAAUCAGGGACAACAUAUAAAUCAGCAACACAUUCAUGUAAGUAUAUAACUCAUGUGAGUAUGUGACCAUGUGCCUCUACAAGUCAUUAGAAAAUCAGCAACACAUAAAUCAGAACCACUUAUAAAUCAGGGACAGCAUAUAACUCAUAUAAAUCAGGGACAACAUAUAAAUCAGCAACACAUUCAUAUAAGUAUAUAAC